UGGGGAAUAUUGGACAAUGGGCGCAAGCCUGAUCCAGCCAUGCCGCGUGUGUGAAGAAGGCCUUUUGGUUGUAAAGCACUUUAAGCGAGGAGGAGGCUACUUGGAUUAAUACUCUAGGAUAGUGGACGUUACUCGCAGAAUAAGCACCGGCUAACUCUGUGCCAGCAGCCGCAGUAAUACAGAGGGUGCGAGCGUUAAUCGGAUUUACUGGGCGUAAAGCGUGCGUAGGCGGCUUUUUAAGUCGGAUGUGAAAUCCCUGAGCUUAACUUAGGAAUUGCAUUCGAUACUGGGAAGCUAGAGUAUGGGAGAGGAUGGUAGAAUUCCAGGUGUAGCGGUGAAAUGCGUAGAGAUCUAGAGGAAUACCGAUGGAGAAGGCAGCCAUCUGGCCUAAUACUGACGCUGAGGUACGAAAGCAUGGGGAGCAAACAGG
rnacentral:rRNA from 1 species